UCGUCAUCGUAGGGUUAGUCGGGUCCUAAGUCGAGUCCGAAAGGGGUAGACGAUGGCAAAUUGAUUAAUAUUUCAAUACCAACAAUAGAGCGUGAUGUAGGGACGCUUAGAGCUAAACGAGCCAACUGAUGGAAUAGUUGGUCGAAAGGUGUAGGUUGAAUCAUUGGCAAAUCCGUGAUUCUCUAUCCGAGACCUGACAGGCACUCGAAGUUCUUCGGAACGGAAGGUGAAUCGUUGAUGCUGUCGAGCCAAGAAAAGCUGCUAAGCAUAUCUAUUGUUGCCCGUACCGCAAACCGACACAGGUGGGUGAGAUGAGUAUUCUAAGGCGCGUGGAAGAAUUCUGGUUAAGGAACUCUGCAAACUAGCACCGUAUCUUCGGUAGAAGGUGUGCCUCGCUAAGUUAGGUGAUUUACUCACUAAAGCUAAGCAGGUUGCAACAAAGAGUCCCUCCCGACUGUUUAC
rnacentral:rRNA from 1 species